GACUUAUGGGGCUGGACGGAAGCCUGUUUUUCCACCAGUGAAGUUUGUCAAUGCAGAUGACAGUGGAUUCAGGCGUAUCAUACAAGCUGGAAACUUUCAUUUGGAUGGAGCUAAUUUUCAGGUGGUCGAGAAAAAGGAGCCAAUUUUCAGGAAUAUGGGAAGUUCAGAUUGUUGGAAUCCAUUCUGAUAUGCUAUUCUGUUUCCUUAUCCUUUUUUGUGGGAUCGUACUAACUAACCUUAAUCGCUUAUCAUUUCGUGCAGCAACACGUCAGAGUUUCGACAGUGCAUCGUAUUUUGGUAUGAGGUGCCUUGAAGUUUUCAGCAAUACUGCAGGGUUACCACGAUACAUGAUUUUCACAGAAACACGAAUAUGGGAGUACAUUUGUUCUGUGACGGUGAAUUUAUUAGGAGACAUACCAUUAUAAUGCUCGGAGAAAUUUGGAGUUCCAGUCGCCUGCCGGUACACUAUCUUGCUACUUACUAU